CAACUGGAUCUGAAGCGUAAUGAUGGUCUUCAGAAGGCCUCUCAUGGUGGCCUUGAUUCAGAGGUUUGAGAAGACUACCAAGCACCAGAGCCAGCUAACAGGUGGACCAAACAUCAAGCCAGAAUUCUGCAUGAGUCAGAAUCUUUUGAUAAUAUUGCCCAAUGCAACAAAUGGAAAAAGCAUGCUUUAUGACAACCUCAGCAGCAGAACCCAUGACUUUCUCCUGGGUAGACGAGACAAAAAAGUUUGGUAUCAACACCCAUCUAACAAUUAAGGUAAAAGAUAAAGUUUUAUGAUCCCUGCAUUCAGGUUAGAGUAUGGGGUAAGUUGACCGUUCUAUGGGUGUUCCUCAAAUGCAAGGUUGCAUGUGGAGGCUGCGUCCAUCUUAGUCCUGGCCUUCUGAGAUUUCGAUGUUAGAAAAAAGCCAGAAUGAGAUGGUUUAGUUUGAUGUCCAAGGCAACGUCAUAAUGGUUUCCGCCCCAGUGAUCAUGGCAUGAAAACUUUAAAGAGAGAAGUUGAAAAUUAGCAAUGCAUCACCAAAAAAAUCCAAUAAUGUAGUACAGUGAAUAAAAGUCAUGUAUCAACUGUCUUUACAACAUGGACAGUUAAACAUUUUGUAAUUAAAUUAAAACAACAAAAUAGAAAACAAGCAGAUUGAGAUGUCCUUCGACGAUGCUUGAUGACGUGGCAGCCGAGACAUGCAGCCUUCUAGGACGGAGCCUUAUUUAAAAAAAAUAAUAAUAAUAAGGACGGAGCCUUAUUUAUUUUUAUUUUAUAUAUGUAUAAUGUCCCCCUUUGUAUUUCUUAUUAUUUAAAAAAAAUAUUAAAAAUAAUUUUAAAAGGACGCAGCUGUGCGUUUGAGAAACGACCGGAAACGACUUAUAUGUCGCGAGGCCAUCACGUGACCACAAUAUUUACCAGAAGACCGUUAUUUGCUCGAGUACCCUCAACUUUUUUGUCGCAAAUAACAUUAUUAAUAACCUGUAAAUAAUAAAUUUUGUACACAUUACGUUCCUCUUCACUUUGUAAUAGUAUGUUUUUUGGUUUAAUAGUCGGCUUUAAGUUAGUUUUCCUGUCAGUUUGAUCGUCAAAAUCUUGAAAGUUAUCUGCAGCCACACAUCCACUGUAUACCAAGUUAUGAUGAACAAUUAUGAAAAUGCAAAAGGAUUGAUAGAUCAGUAAACAAGCAACAAAAAGCUUUACAAAAAAUGUAGAAUUUGUAGGAGCGCAUGGACAUCUGAGUAACAAAGUCAUAUUAUGCAGAUGGGUGCUCAUGGUGGCCUCCAAAUAAAUACAUGGACAGGCUGCUAAAGAGGGUCAGGAUGAUGGAGAUGCAAGAGCCAAAGACAGCACAGACCAAACACCAGGCCAGAAUUCUGCAUGAGUCAGAUUGAGUAAUUUUCACUCUAGAGACCCUUGGGUGACCACCAAGGACGAAUGCAAACUCCAGUGAGUGUCUCUAAGGUAGAUCCUAAUGCAGAUGGAUGGAAUGUUGAUCCGCCUAACAUGCAAGCUACAGAGGGCAUCCUUUAUUCAGUCCCUAAUGCAGAUGGUUGGAGUGUUGAUCUACCUAACAUGAGGGGUAAAAGAGUGUUUGUUAGCAUAAUGAGAAAGAAAACAGAAACACAUUAUUAGUGGCAUUUAAAAACAUAACACUUGUUUAUACUACAUUUUAUGUUCAAUCCAUAGAGCACUCGUUUUGAGUCCUGAGACCCUGGGGUGACCACCGUGAACAAAUACAGAAGCACUCAAUUUGAGUCCUGAGACCCUGGGGUGACCACCGUGAACAAAUACAGACUGCAAUAGCAGUCUUGACGGUACUAGGAUGAAUGCAAAUAAAGACUAACCACCUGACAUCAGCUGUCCAGUCUCUUGUGGGAAGCAGGUGCUUGUUACCCCAAAUACGGAUGAAGAGUGACGAAGAGGAUGAUGACUUU